CUCUAUUAACUUAUUGUAUCAUGACGUGUAAUGAAAAUCAUAUAUGUGGUAAUGGUAGAAUUAGAAACUGAAGUUGCCUUCGACUUUGUUCCCACUUAAUGAUAAAAGUGUAUAGGAAAAAUUGUGAAUAACCACCUGUUAGAUACACCUGUUUCAAAAUAACCACCCCAAUUUCAUUUGCAUUUAAAUAACCACCUCUACUUAGCUUCACGUUUUUAAAUACCCACCUCUUAACAGAAAAAGGUGACUCCGUUAACAGUGAGGCCUGUUGACACGCUUUUUAUUAAAUUUCCCGCCAAUUUUCCUCGACUUUGACCUAUAUAUACAUCUCUAACAUUGACAAACCUAAUCUAAACAAAUUUGGCAAAGAUUUACUUCAAUUCCACUGUGAUUCCUCUUGAAGCUCAAAAUUCAGGAAUUUGCUAUGGCUGAAAGGGAAUCAAUUACUUGCCAUUGUAUUCUCCCUGUUGCAAGGAGGACUUCUUGGACUGAGAAGAAUCCCGGACGAAGGUUCAAUUCAUGUCUUGCAAAUUCUAUGAGCAUGAAACGGAGUGGAGGGGCUGCGGUUUUUUUAGAUGGAUUGAUGAGAGACAAACUGAAUGGCAGAAGCUAUUUAUAAAUCAACUUAUUGCGCAGAAGAGGUUGUUGGAGGGCAGAGUUAGGUCAUUGGAAGAUGAAGUGAGCAGUUUGCAAGGACAACGAAGACUGAGUUGCAGAUUAGAGAGAAAGAAUCUUGUCUAGAAAAAAUGAAUGAAGAAUUUAAAAUGGGGAGGGGAAGGUGAAAUAAUAAUUGAAGUUUGAAGAAGAAGGAAGAGAGAGGAAAGAGAGAAUAGGAAAAAAGUAAGAAAUGCGUGGUCUGUUGGAGGGAAAUUAGGUGAGUAAAAAAAUGGGCCCCACUGUUAACGGAGUCACAUUUUUCUGUUAAGAGGUGGGUAUUUAAAAACGUGAAGCUAGGUAGAGGUGGUUAUUUAAAUGCAAAUGAAAUUGGGGUGGUUAUUUUGAAACAGGGGUAUCUGACAGGUGGUUAUUCACAAUUUUUCCAAGUGUAUAAUUAGGGGUGAUAAACUGAUAAUCAAGUGAAUCACGAGUACAGGUAUACUUGAUUUGACUGGAAAACUGCUGAAUCAUGGUUGUUGCUCGUUAAGCUCGUCAAAUCUUUGCUUGACUCGUACUCAUUAUAAUUUGUGUAGCUCGACUCAAACUCAAUUCGACUCGAGUCCGGUUUGCUUGAAUAGCUUGAAUGACUCGACUUGAUUGCUUUACUCAAAGCUGAGAGACUCAAGUAUUUGAAUCCAAUUGAGUUAAUGACAAAGUCAAUCCAAGAUCCAAACCAAUAUCAUCAUUUAAGUUCAUACUUCAGUAAGACCCAUGUAUAAUAUUACUAUACUAGGCCCAGAAGGAGACAUAAAUAAAUUAUUUGGGUAAUGUUUUAUAACCUUAAUUGCUCGCAUCUCAUGAUAAUCCAGAUGCGGGAGUAAUUACACUUUUGCUUUUUCCUUCGUCUCUUCCCGUCUUUUUUUCCCGAUUCGCUGCUUCUUUUGUUAAUGAGUCACCGAAAUUCAUUGUAAUAUAGAUAAAUAAAUGAGGUUAUUUGAUUUA